rnacentral:rRNA from 1 species
AUUGAACGCUGGCGGCAUGCCUUACACAUGCAAGUCGAACGGCAGCACGGACAUCGGUCUGGUGGCGAGUGGCGAACGGGUGAGUAAUAUAUCGGAACAUACCUUGUAGUGGGGGAUAACUAUCCGAAAGGAUAGCUAAUACCGCAUACGCUCUAAGGAGGAAAGCGGGGGAUCGUAAGACCUCGUGCUAUAAGAGUGGCCGAUAUCUGAUUAGCUAGUUGGUGAGGUAAAGGCUCACCAAGGCGACGAUCAGUAGCUGGUCUGAGAGGACGAGCAGCCACACUGGAACUGAGACACGGGCCAGACUCCUACGGGAGGCAGCAGUGGGGAAUUUUGGACAAUGGGGGCAACCCUGAUUCAGCAAUGCCGCGUGAGUGAAGAAGGCCUUCGGGUUGUAAAGCUCUUUUGUCAGGGAAGAAACGGUUGUGGCUAAUAUCCAUGGCUAAUGACGGUACCUGAAGAAUAAGCACCGGCUAACUACGUGCCAGCCGCCGCCGUAAAAC